rnacentral:rRNA from 1 species
AGAGUUUGAUCCUGGCUCAGGAUGAACGCUAGCUACAGGCUUAACACAUGCAAGUCGAGGGGCAUCAUGGCGGUCGCUUGCGACCGCUGAUGGCGACCGGCGCACGGGUGCGUAACGCGUAUCGAACCUGCCGCAUACCCGGGGAUAGCCUUGCGAAAGCAAGAUUAAUACCCGAUGUUCUCACUGUUCCGCAUGUUACGGUGAGCAAAGAAAUUCGGUAUGCGAUGGCGAUGCGUCCCAUUAGCUAGUUGGCGGGGUAACGGCCCACCAAGGCUCCGAUGGGUAGGGGUUCUGAGAGGAAGGUCCCCUACACUGGAACUGAGACACGGUCCAGACUCCUACGGGAGGCAGCAGUGAGGAAUAUUGGUCAAUGGACGCAAGUCUGAACCAGCCAAGUAGCGUGCAGGAUGACGGCCCUCCGGGUUGUAAACUGCUUUUAGUUGGGAAUAAAAGGGGGCUCGUGAGCCCCCGUAUUGUAUGUACCAUCAGAAAAAGGACCGGCUAAUUCCGUGCCAGCAGCCGCGGUAAUACGGAAGGUCCGGGCGUUAUCCGGAUUUAUUGGGUUUAAAGGGAGCGUAGGCCGGCUUUUAAGUCAGCUGUGAAAGUCCGCGGCUCAACCGUGGAAUUGCAGUUGAAACUGGAGGCCUUGAGUGCACACAGGGAUGCCGGAAUUCAUGGUGUAGCGGUGAAAUGCUUAGAUAUCAUGAAGAACUCCGAUCGCGAAGGCAAGUGUCCGGGGUGCAACUGACGCUGAGGCUCGAAAGUGCGGGUAUCAAACAGGAUUAGAUACCCUGGUAGUCCGCACCGUAAACGAUGAAUACUCGUGUCCCGCGAUAUAUUGUGGGACACUUAGCGAAAGCGUUAAGUAUUCCACCUGGGGAGUACGCCGGCAACGGUGAAACUCAAAGGAAUUGAC